rnacentral:rRNA from 1 species
UGGGGAAUAUUGCGCAAUGGGCGAAAGCCUGACGCAGCCACGCCGCGUGAGCGAUGAAGGCCUUCGGGUCGUAAAGCUCUGUGGGGGGAGAAGAAGAAAGCCGGUGAAGAGCCGGCCCUGACGGUAUCCCCUUAGCAAGCACCGGCUAACUCCGUGCCAGCAGCCGCGGUAAUACGGAGGGUGCAAACGUUGCUCGGAAUCAUUGGGCGUAAAGCGCACGUAGGCUGCUCGACAAGUUGGAUGUGAAAGCCCUUGGCUCAACCGAGGAAGUGCAUCCAAAACUGGCGGGCUUGAAUCUCGGAGGGGGCCAGAGAAUUCCCGGUGUAGAGGUGAAAUUCGUAGAUAUCGGGAGGAAUACCAGUGGCGAAGGCGCUGGCCUGGACGAAGAUUGACGCUGAGGUGCGAAAGCGUGGGGAGCAAACAGG